rnacentral:lncRNA from 1 species
CCCUCCCCUGGGACACUUCCUGCUCCGCUCUAGGACUGGGGAGGUCUCCGCAUCUCAGUGGUUCGCUCCCCCGCCCCCCGGCCGAGGUGUGCGCUGGGGGUGACAUCCGACACCCCCGGCCCGCCCCGCUCCGCGCGCGCCUGGGCCUGGCCGCCGGGCCGGGGGCUUUGUGGGUCAGCCACGUCGCCGCGCCCGGGCUUCCCCGCGGGCCCGCCGGUCCGGAAGGUCGGCCCGGGGCUCUUUUCUCCGCUGUUCUCCUUCUCUGGCGCCCCCAGGACACGCGGCCAGUGGACGCCCGGAACGGCCGACCGGGAGUCGCGGCUGGGGAUGGAAGCUGGAAUUGGGGGUGCGGGAUGGAGCGGAGAGAGGAGGCCCCGCGCGCCGUCGGCCGCCUCAUUUCAGACUCCCCUGCGACCCCCCCCCCGCCGCCAGCCGAAGCCCGGGCCGCCCAGCCCCUCCUGCCGCUGCGGGACGCCGAAGGUAGCGCUCACAUCCGCGCCUUCCGGGCCUGGCGCCCACGUGCGGAGUCCCCGGGUUAGGAAAGGCCGCGCAUCCGGAGGCCACGCAGAGCCUCGGGGCUUGCGCAGAGGGGCUGCGGUGAGUCCUGACCCUGAGUGGGGGUCACGGGGCUCGUUGCUCGCUGAAGUGAACACGGUUGCAGCUGUGCACAGUGGCGGAGGGAGAGGAUGAGGGACUCUGACCCAAGGUUAUGUGGCAGUGAGGGGCAAGCAGAAAUGGGGGCCUCCGGACCCCACCCCGAGACAGGGCUGCUGGCCGCUGCACUAUGCUGAAUAUAGCCCAAAUUCUUACAUGGGUCGUCCCCGGGGAAUGCUCAUUUUUCAGGCUCCAGAGCUUGAGAGAAAGUGCGAACCCGGUCCCUGAGCAGGUCUGAUUCCCAUGGCCCCUUCGCCAUCUGCUCUGCACCGAAAUUGGAUUCUCCUACGCAGAGGAGAAGGUGGAGAAGAUUCUCCGUCUUCCGGAGGGUAGCUACUGCCGGUAGCUCCGAUUUCCUUCGGAUCCCCUUUCAAGGGCAAGCAGAAGGAAAUCAGUUUCUCCAAAGAAAGUGGCCCGGCUGAGUAAGUGGGAACAAGGUGGUUGGACUGAGGCACGGGAUCCUUUAGCUCCGUUGCUCUUCUAAUCCCGUGGCCCUGGGCACCGCCACUUCCUCCUCUGAACUGCUGGAAUAAUCACUUCUGACUAGCAGAGUUACUGGGAGCCGCUGUUUGUCAGUGUUCACAUUCUGACUUUAGCAGGAGAUGGAGCGAGCGAAGGAGUGAAGCCCUUGUUUGUGAACAGUGAUUGUUUCCCGGAUGACAGCCAGAUGCCGGGCAGGGCCACGCAGAUCUUAGCUGGAGCCUACAGGUACAAGUGAGAGCCACCCCCUUUGACGUAACUGGACUGGCAUUUACAGAACUCAUGUACAGCCCACUCUCAGGAACACCAGCCAGGAACCGUGACAUGGAGGAGAGGAAUUGGGAGGAACCGAGGGGUCAUCAAAGGCUGGUAGGGCUUAGGUGCUCUAGCAAACAUCCUAGUCUGUGGGGUUCCAGAGCUCUGGUGCUACAGCUCCCAACCCUUUGAUUGGCCCAGGAACUGGCUGUUGAGUGGGCAUCCGUGUUCAUAGCUCUGCCCCUUGCAACCCUAAAGCAGAUAAAAUGCAGGAGGCAGAAAUUGCUGGCAGACAGCAUCCAAUUAAUCCCCACUACCCAAUUCAGUUUCUUCCCCUGACCUGACACGUCCCUGCCCAGCUGUGCCUCCCACUGUUCACCUUUUGAGGCACAAAACGGGCUGUUUAUGCUGCUGCUGCAUUUAGCUCAAAACAGGGCUUCAGAGUCAAGGUUCUGGACUCAGGCACCCGGAUUAAAUCCUGCCCUAUGAAUUCCUAGCCAGGUGACCUCAGGCCUACAUAACCUUUCUGUACCUCAACUUCCUCAUCCAGAAAACAGGGAUGAUGCUGUCUACCUCAUUGGAUGGUUGUGCAGGAUCAAAGAUUCAGUCAUUCAGCAAACCUAUACCGAGUACCUACUGUACACUCAUGAGUGCUAGGCAGCCAGCCUUCCAGGUGCUCAGGUACAUCUGUGAACACAACUGGCUAUUGGAGGAAGCAAAAUCAGUAACAUGACCUGCUCUCUUUGAUCUGUGCUACAGAAAAAAAGGAAAGUGGAGAGGCAUCAGGAAGUCAGGAGUGCUGGGGAGGGGCUGGUAACAGUCAUGGUAUUAAAGAGGAGGGCAGGCAGGCCUUACUGUGAAGGUGGUAUUUGAGAUGAAGUAGUUGGUCAGAGUCCCUGUUUGACACAUGGAGACCACCUUGACAGCAAAGGCCCUAAGGGGGAGCGGUGCGAAGCAAGGUGGGCUGGUGAGUGAGAGGAGAGGGAUGGCAUAGAGCUGGGUGGGGGCACAGGAGCCCGUGGGGAAGGUGUUCGCCUCUGAAUGAAGUGGGGUUGUAUCAGAUACCACGGGUGAAGCAUCGGGAAGAGGAUCCUGCCUGUAAACCCUGCUCAAGGACUGCACCAUCAUCAUGCCCAGUGUGUGCGUGUAUUAGGUUUGUAUGAAUAUAAUGUUGCCAAUUGUAUCUGUUUUUAUGAAAUGUUUGCUAUGUGCCAAUGAUUAUUCGAUCCAUGGGGAGACCAUAGAAGAAUGAUCCAAGGAGUUGGGAGGGGAAUCAAAUAAUAAAUCAGCGAUUCUGCAAUAUAACGCCAUUGGUGAUCGGUGUCAUGAAAGAAAUACAACAUGGUGGGGAAGAGUGUGCUGGGGAUGUUCAGGUAGGGCCUCUGUCAGGAGGUGACAUUUGAGUGGAGAGCAGGUGGGGGGCUCCUGAGCAGAGGUGUGUGGGAAGAGUAUUCCAGCAGAGGAAACAGCGUGUGCUUGCUCAGCUGGGCAGAGGAAUAGUGAGAGAAUGGUGAGGCUGGAACCAGGUCACCAGAUGUUAUAGUCAUUAGAGGGUUUCAAGUAGGAGUGUGGCCUAACGGAAUCUUGAUUUUAUCAAGAUCACUGUGCAGAACAGAUGAAGCAGAGUCUCUGUUAGGAAUCGUUGUAGAGAUCCCGGCAGGAGAUGCUCGGUUCCUGGAGUUGACUGGUGGAGGCACAGCUGGUGAACAGUAGGCCCAAUCCAGGCUCUGUGUUGAAGGCAUGCUGCCUGUGUUAGAGGAGUGAGGAACGGCUGUGACUGGGGCUGAAACUGGGUGACUGAACAGGCCUUCUAGAGAUGGCAGAUGCAAGGAAGCAGGUUUCCAGGAAGGGGUUGGGUUUGGGGUUGAAUUGGUGGAUUUGGGACUUGCUGGUUUUCAGAUGCCCAGGAGACAAGUGGGGAUGACCCUCUGGGAUAGAAAGCUGUGGCUGGAGGUGGAAAUCUGGAGUCACCGUAUGUAGCAGGAGCUGGGGCUUGAGAGGGUUGAGUGUGUUUUGAGAAGCAGCCCCAGGGAGGGCAGACCCUGCGAAAUGCCAGCCCUGGACCGUGGGAGCCCAAGGGGUUAGUGGAGGAGAAGGGAGAGAAGGGGAAGUAGGAGGAGGAAAGUGAGGGAG